CAGCAGCCACGGUAAUACGUAGGGUGCAAGCGUUAAUCGGAAUUACUGGGCGUAAAGCGUGCGCAGGCGGUUCUAUAAGACAGAUGUGAAAUCCCCGGGCUCAACCUGGGGACUGCAUUUGUGACUGUAGAGCUCGAGUACGGUAGAGGGGGAUGGAAUUCCGCGUGUAGCAGUGAAAUGCGUAGAUAUUGGGAAGAACACCGGUGGCGAAGGCGGCAACCUGGUCCUUGACUGACGCUGAGGCGCGAAAGCGUGGGGAGCAAACAGGAUUAGAUACCCCCGUAGUCCCUGUCUCUUAUAC
rnacentral:rRNA from 1 species